CAGAUGAUCACCAAAAAAUACUCUUGUCAUCAAGGCCUUAUAGGUAUCUGUGGGGUUCUGUCCACCUGGUACAGAGUUGGCAAGUUAAAGAAGCAAAGGAAACCGCACAGUGAUCACUCAGAUCUCCUAUGUUCCCUUUCAAACCUCUGAGGAAGGCAUCUGGGUGAACCUUUGCGGGAAAAGGAAAAUCCAAACCCAGUAAAGAACUUGUUCUGGACUUGUUCCCUUUCAACUCUCCCUGGUGAUUUCAGGGGAAGUUCUCUGGAGCACACAAUUCCAUAAACGUCGACAUUUCCAGGAUAUGAAGAUUCUGCUGCUCCGUUCUGAGCAAAGAGUUUAACAAGUCAAAUACAAAUCUCAGGGGACUUCAUAAGCCUCGUGAUGGUGCCAUGCAAAUUCAUCAAGGAAGGUGGCAUUUCUGGGAUAAAGGAAGAAGUAUAUGUUCUUGAAAGUCAGCAAUUUGGGUGGCUUUAUCUCUACAACUCGGAAGACAUUUGAAGAACGUUUGGUAAUUAAAUACGCCCUCAGCAGAGAAAUAAUGCUCUGGGUUGUCCUGCAGGUAAGUAGAAGGUAAGUGUUCUCUCUUACCUGGGUUUUAAGAAUUCUGCUUGGAAUCACGCGGGUGUUCCAAGUGUAUACAAUCUAUACAAUAAUAUGAGUAAAUGUCCUGGCUAAGAAACAGGCAGAAUACAUCUUCCUAGAGUCACAACAGCUAAGUCUUUCUUGGGAUUCAGAGUUCAGCUCAAUAUCUUCCCCUCCCACACGGAACCUUCUAAUCCACAUCAGCCCACUUUGUGUCAUCAUCUUCCUUUAUUUUUAUUUCACCAAUCAUUGUCUGAAAUGAUUGUCUUCAUUUGUUUUCUGGUUUGUUGAUGCCUCUGCCUGGUAGAAAAUCGCUCAUUGAGAGCGGGAUGUUGUUAUCUGUCUCCUUCACCACUGAUUCCCCAGCUCCUAGAAGCAGUGCCUGGUACCUUGCAGGUCUUCAAUAAGUAAGGAAUGAAUGAAUGAAUGAAUGAAAGCAGAAUUCUGACUACAGUAUAGUUCCAAAGAGAGUUAUAGAACAUUGGAUGGUUCAGAAGCUGGGUAUGAGAUAUGGCUGUAUAUGAUGUCUAAAAUGUAGUCUAAUGAGGUCAGGGAUUUUCUUCUUUUUCUUUUUUUUUUGCCCUGCAGCUUGUGGAAUCUUAGUUCCCCGACCAGGGAUUGAAUCCGGGCCACCAUAGUGAAAGAACAGAGUCCUAACCACUGGACUGCCAGGGAAUUCCUAGGAAUUUUCUUUAUACUUGAAAAGAAUCCCUACAACAUCAGGCACAGCAUAUGAUAUUUUAUACUGUUGGAGGUGGGUUAAUGCAGAGGUCUUGGGGAGAUGAC